rnacentral:rRNA from 1 species
CGCACGGGUGAGUAACACGUAUCCAACCUGCCGUUUACUCUUGGACAGCCUUCUGAAAGGAAGAUUAAUACAAGAUGGCAUCAUGAGUCCACAUGUUCACAUGAUUAAAGGUAUUCCGGUAGACGAUGGGGAUGCGUUCCAUUAGAUAGUAGGCGGGGUAACGGCCCACCUAGUCUUCGAUGGAUAGGGGUUCUGAGAGGAAGGUCCCCCACAUUGGAACUGAGACACGGUCCAA